rnacentral:tRNA from 1 species
GCGGAAGUGGCGGAAUUGGUAGACGCACCAGAGUUAGGUUCUGGCGCCGCAAGGUGUGCGAGUUCAAGUCUCUCUUUCCGCACCA